AAGACACGUUUUGUGGUUGGGUGUGAUCAAAACACAUUUGUAGACAUCAAAUAAAGAAGAUAUUUUGUUAAGAAAAUGCAAGACAAAGAAAGAAUUAGUUCAACAACAAGAAUGAGAGAUACCAUCCAUCCAAUGUGAAACUCUAUCCCACCACUACUAAACCACUCCAUGUUGUUACAUUCUCCAAAAAACCAAUUAUUUUUUUUAUUCGUUAUUUAUUUAUUCUCUCAAUUCCCUUGUCAAAUUAACUGAAACACCAUCACCAUCAAAUGAUGGAUGAAUGAAUGAAUGAAUGAAUGAAUGAAUUCACUGCUUUUUUCACUUUGUAUUUUUACCAUUUCUACAACAAUUUUGCACACCACGUGCAUAUUGUUGCUGCAAUUGCAGCGUAGACUGAACGACAACAGCAACAGAAGCUUCUUUAUGGAGGAUUCGAUCACCGAAGAGAGAGCGAGAGAGAGAGAGAGAGCAUCGGAGGAAUGGCCGUAUCAACAACAACACCCACAUGAAUCCCGGUGCCGCAAAUUGCUGCAAGGUAUUUCAACUCACAACAAGACAACAAGACAGACAAAGACAAAAGACGUGUUUUUGAGGUAUAGUGGAGAUUUGUUUAUAUGGAGGAGGAGGAGGAGAUCGGUGUGAGAUGUGCGCAGUGUGAUGAUGCCUUGAUCGAUCCCCACGUCUCCGAAGCCGGUGCCACUGGUGCCUCUGAUGCUGCCCACACGCUUCGACUCUACGAAGCGCCUGAAGGAAGGAAGCUAGAGAUCCCUGUUCCCUGCGACUAAAGCGCGCUUGUUUUGCUGACAAGGCAAAACGCGGGUCCAGGAGUGAGCGAGAGAGAGAGAGAGAGAUUCGCCGAGGCUUGACGGUCAGUCGGUCGGUCGGUCCCAGGGCGUUUCUAUCGCCGCAAGUUACUUCAGCCUCGAUCCACGCUCACGUGCUCAUCGCUUGCUCGGUUUUGAAAGGAACCCAGUUCCGAAGAAUAGCGUGCAAAAUCGAGUGACGGUGGAUCCACUCUGCGAGGUCGUUGCGAGCUCUGCGCGCCAUCUGUGGCGGUGGAUUUGUGUCGGCAUUUCUGAAGCUUGCUAACCCAUGUCAGCUUUGUUUAAUGUUUCUGUUGCUAAGGGAAACCGUUGACUAAUGUGUCUAGAGUCAGCUUAUCAAAGCAUUGUGUGUCAAGAAACAAAUCGACUCUGAGCUUUGCUUUGAAAUGUGAGAUCGCAACCAAUUCGGUGUUUUCUCAGUGUCUGUAUUGCAAUGAGAUGCGUUACGAAGGCUGACUUUGUCGACACGAACUCUUUUUCCUGUUGAAACUUUCAUGGCGAAAUGAGGAACAUGGAAAAUUAGAGAUGGCAUUUUUUAGAUUGAACUGAAGCCAUGGAGUGUGGUGGACUCAUAGUCAGUGUCUUCGGUAUCUUUAAAUAUAGUCAUUGUAAUUUUGCGUAGUUGUGGGAAGCCUUUUACAUGAUGUGAGCACAGAAGCUGCAAUACAAUAAAAUGAUGAUUUGAAAUUGCAUGAAA